GCCGGCAGCUAGCUCUCUGCAAUCUCACAUAGUCACCCACUCAAGCUAAGCAGUGCUGCGCCCGGUCAGUACCUGGAUGGGAGACAAAAUGGGAAAGCUAGGUUGCUGCCGAAA
rnacentral:rRNA from 1 species